rfam:Capsicum annuum cultivar Zunla-1 chromosome 2, whole genome shotgun sequence
GUCAUUUCGGAACAUCCGAUAAAAUUGGAAGGAUACUGAGAAAAUUAGCUUAGUCCUUGCGCAAAGAUUACAUCACACAAAUCGAGAAAUGGUCCAGAGAAUC